rnacentral:rRNA from 1 species
AUUGAACGCUGGCGGCAGGCCUAACACAUGCAAGUCGAGCGAGCGGCGGACGGGUGAGUAAUGUCUGGGAAACUGCCUGAUGGAGGGGGAUAACUACUGGAAACGGUAGCUAAUACCGCAUACCAUCAGAUGUGCCCAGAGGGGAUUAGCUAGUAGGUGGGGUAACGGCUCACCUAGGCGACGAUCCCCAGCUGGUCUGAGAGGAUGACCAGCCAAAUUGCAACUGGGGCACGUGCCAGAAUCCUACGGUACGCAGCAGGGGGGAAUAAUGCACAAUGGGCGAGGGCCUGAUGCAGCCGUGCCGCGAGUGUGUAGGAGGCCUUCGGGUCGCAAAGCACUUUCAGCGGGGAGCCGUGAACCGCAGCAGAAGCCCCGGCUAGCUCCGAGGCAGCAGCCGCGGUAAUAC